rnacentral:rRNA from 1 species
GUGAUCCGGUGGUUCUGAAUGGAAGGGCCAUCGCUCAACGGAUAAAAGGUACUCCGGGGAUAACAGGCUGAUACCGCCCAAGAGUUCAUAUCGACGGCGGGGUUUGGCACCUCGAUGUCGGCUCAUCACAUCCUGGGGCUGAAGUAGGUCCCAAGGGUAUGGCUGUUCGCCAUUUAAAGUGGUACGCGAGCUGGGUUUAGAACGUCGUGAGACAGUUCGGUCCCUAUCUGCCGUGGGCGCUGGAGAAUUGAGGGGGGCUGCUCCUAGUACGAGAGGACCGGAGUGGACGCAUCACUGGUGUUCGGGUUGUCAUGCCAAUGGCACUGCCCGGUAGCUAAAUGCGGAAGAGAUAAGUGCUGAAAGCAUCUAAGCACGAAACUUGCCCCGAGAUGAGUUCUCCCUGAGACUUUAAGUCUCCUGAAGGAACGUUGAAGACGACGACGUUGAUAGGCCGGGUGUGUAAGCGCAGCGAUGCGUUGAGCUAACCGGUACUAAUGAACCGUGAGGCUUAACCUUACAACGCCGAAG